rnacentral:rRNA from 1 species
UUUUCCUACGGGAGGCAGCAGUGAGGAAUAUUGGUCAAUGGCCGAGAGGCUGAACCAGCCAAGUCGCGUGAGGGAAGACGGCCCUACGGGUUGUAAACCUCUUUUGUCGGGGAGCAAAGCGAACCACGUGUGGUUCAUUGAGAGUACCCGAAGAAAAAGCAUCGGCUAACUCCGUGCCAGCAGCCGCGGUAAUACGGAGGAUGCGAGCGUUAUCCGGAUUUAUUGGGUUUAAAGGGUGCGCAGGCGGAAUGUCAAGUCAGCGGUAAAAUUUCGGGGCUCAACCCCGUCGUGCCGUUGAAACUGGC